rnacentral:rRNA from 1 species
AAUAGAUACCCGGGUAGUCCACGCUGUAAACGUUGGGCGCUAGGUGUGGGGGGCCUCUCCGGUUCUCUGUGCCGCAGCUAACGCAUUAAGCGCCCCGCCUGGGGAGUACGGCCGCAAGGCUAAAACUCAAAGGAAUUGACGGGGGGCCCGCACAAGCGGCGGAGCAUGCGGAUUAAUUCGAUGCAACGCGAAGAACCUUACCUGGGUUUGACAUGGCCGCAAAACCGGCAGAGAUGUCGGGUCCUUCGGGGGCGGUCACAGGUGGUGCAUGGCUGUCGUCAGCUCGUAUCGUGAGAUGUUGGGUUAAGUCCCGCAACGAGCGCAACCCUCGUUCGAUGUUGCCAGCGGUUCGGCCGGGGACUCAUCGAAGACUGCCGGGGUCAACUCGGAGGAAGGUGGGGAUGACGUCAAGUCAUCAUGCCCCUUAUGUCCAGGGCUUCACGCAUGCUACAAUGGCCGGUACAAUGGGCUGCGAUACCGUGAGGUGGAGCGAAUCCCAAAAGCCGGUCUCAGUUCGGAUCGGGGUCUGCAACUCGACCCCGGU